rnacentral:rRNA from 1 species
AACAAACGCUGGCGGCGUGCCUAAUACAUGCAAGUCGAACGGGGAAAGCUUUCGGGUGAGUACUAGUGGCGCACGGGUGAGUAACGCGUGGAUAAUCUGCCUUAGAGUGGGGGAUAACUAGUCGAAAGAUUAGCUAAUACCGCAUAAGACCACAAGAACUGCGGUUCAAGGGGUCAAAGGUUUUUCGCUCUAAGAUGAGUCCGCGUAAGAUUAGCUAGUCGGUAAGGGAACGGCCUACCAAGACGACGAUCUUUAACUGGUCUGAGAGGAUGAGCAGUCACACUGGAACUGAGACACGGUCCAGACUCCUACGGGAGGCAGCAGUAGGGAAUAUUGCACAAUGGAGGAAACUCUGAUGCAGCGACGCCGCGUGAGUGAUGAAGGCCUUCGGGUCGUAAAGCUCUGUCGCAGGGGAACAACACAAUGAAGGUACCCUGUAAGAAAGGAUCGGCUAACUUCGUGCCAGCCGCCGCGGUAACAC